rnacentral:rRNA from 1 species
ACGGGGCGCAGCAGGCGCGAAACCUCCGCAAUGUGAGAAAUCGCGACGGCGGGGAUCCCAAGUGCCAUUCUUAACGGGAUGGCUUUUCAUUAGUGUAAAGAGCUUUUGGAAUAAGGGCUGUGGCAAGACCGGUGCCAGCCGCCGCGGUAAU